rnacentral:rRNA from 1 species
UUGAACGCUGGCGGCAUGCCUUACACAUGCAAGUCGCACGGCAGCACGGGUGCUUGCCCCUGGUGGCGAGUGGCGAACGGGUGAGUAAUACAUCGGAACAUGUCCUGUAGUGGGGGAUAGCCCGGCGAAAGCCGGAUUAAUACCGCAUACGAUCUACGGAUGAAAGCGGGGGACCUUCGGGCCUCGCGCUAUAGGGUUGGCCGAUAGCUGAUUAGCUAGUUGGUGGGGUAAAGGCCUACCAAGGCGACGAUCAGUAGCUGGUCUGAGAGGACGACCAGCCACACUGGGACUGAGACACGGCCCAGACUCCUACGGGAGGCAGCAGUGGGGAAUUUUGGACAAUGGGCGAAAGCCUGAUCCAGCAAUGCCGCGUGUGUGAAGAAGGCCUUCGGGUUGUAAAGCACUUUUGUCCGGAAAGAAAUCCUUGGCUCUAAUACAGUCGGGGGAUGACGGUACCGGAAGAAUAAGCACCGGCUAACUACGUG